rnacentral:rRNA from 1 species
GACGAACGCUGGCGGCGUGCUUAACACAUGCAAGUCGAACGGAAAGGCCCUGCUUUUGUGGGGUGCUCGAGUGGCGAACGGAUGAGUAACACGUGAGUAACCUGCCCUUGACUUUGGGAUAACUUCAGGAAACUGGGGCUAAUACCUGAUAGGAGCUCCUGCUGCAUGGUGGGGGUUGGAAAGUUUCGGCGGUUGGGGAUGGACUCGCGGCUUAUCAGCUUGUUGGUGGGGUAGUGGCUUACCAAGGCUUUGACGGGUAGCCGGCCUGAGAGGGUGACCGGCCACAUUGGGACUGAGAUACGGCCCAGACUCCUACGGGAGGCAGCAGUGGGGAAUAUUGCACAAUGGGCGGAAGCCUGAUGCAGCAACGCCGCGUGCGGGAUGACGGCCUUCGGGUUGUAAACCGCUUUCGCCUGUGACGAAGCGUGAGUGACGGUAAUGGGUAAAGAAGCACCGGCUAACUACGUG